ensembl:lncRNA
GGCGGGGCGGCUCCAGGGGGGGGGGGCGGGCGGGGGCUGGGCCCGAGGGGCCGCAGCUGAAGGCGUUGGGGGUGUUCCGGGCGGAGAAGAGGGCCGGGCUUCCCAGAAGCAUUUAUUAGUCUCCUGCUGUGUGCCGGGCUCCGGGGGGCGGCAGGGGGCCCUCCAGCGGCAGAGGUCUGCGAGCUAGCAGAGCCCUAGACUGAGUGUGGGGUUUAAAAAAGUGUUAACGCUUCUUGUUUCCAGGACCCUCGCGGGGCUCGUUUCCGGCGUUCGCCCUUGCAAGAGCCGGUGUUCCGAACGGUUUCCGUCCCUCCCCGCUUCCCCGGGAGCAAGCGGCCCAAGCCCUGCAGUUCUUCCAGACCCGCGUCCCCAGUGACCGCGCUGCACAGGGACGAUCAGAUCCGAAGGAAAGGAACGAGAAAGAGUAAAACGCAGAGGAGGACGUCACACAGCGGCGGGAGCGCACUCGCCCCCACGGGCCUCUCGGGCUGCACGCGGCUCUCCCCGUCCCAGUCCAUGGGGGCCGCCUGGAUCACCUCCUGGCUGCCGAGGGCCGCGUCCGUCCGAACUGCUCGUUCCGUGGCCUUGUUGUUGCCGUGUGCGACGGCCCCUGGCCCUGCUCGUUUCCCUCGGCAUCAGUCCGCGCCGGUCUCUCGGGCCCUCGGGCAUCCUCCGCUGGUCGCUUCUCACAGAGCAGCGGAGCUCCAUGACGUCCUUAUACCACGGUUCAUUCAGCCGCUCCCCAGUGACGGGCGUCCCCUCAGUGUCCAGUUCCUGCCGCCACAGACAGUCCGGCACAUGCGGGCCCCUUUCCCUUCCUCAUGACUCUUGGGGGUGCAGGCCCAGCGGUUUGUGAGGGACGGUCGGACCGGAGCUGAGCCCAUUUCCCGCACCUGGUCAACGCUCUGGCCCCGCCCGAACAAAGAGGGCCUGGAGGUUCCCUCUGAUCUCCGUGAGCCUCCUCCUCUAGGAACCCAGGGCUUCCUGGAGCCCCUCCUAGCCCCCCGCCCGCCGCAGCUCCGUUCCCUAACUUACCUGGGCGGGGGCGGCGUGCCCUGGUGGGUGGGCAGCCUACCCGUCCGACUUGGCAGAGAUGCUGGAGAGCAUGGGCAUUUCCUUCUCCAGCUCAUCUUACAGAUGAGGAAACUGAGGCAGGCAGAGUCCCCCCUCCCCCAGCUAGUGAGGGUCUGGCUGAGGCUGGAUUCGUACUCGGCUCUUCCUGAGUCCGGGCCCCUGCUCUGUCCAACGCCCUACCCAGCCGCCCUUGCUGCAAGCAGGAAGUUCAGGGUUCGAAUCCUGCCAGAUUUGCCACUUACCACCAGGGUGAGCCCGGCCAAGGCACUUCUCCCUUCCUCGGAGCUUCCGUUUCCUCCUCUGUGAAAUGAAUGAGCUGGACUCUAAGGUCCCCCCCCCCCCCCAAAUCUGCAAUCUCUUGUGGAUUCCGCUCAGUCCAGUUCAAGCAGGAUUAAUGAAACCAUCACUGUGUGGCCCUGGGCGCGGUGCUGGAGCCAGAAGGGAAAAAGCAGUCCCGGUCUGCGGCAGGAGAAGGGCCUCUAGGGCAUGCUAGGGGGGAGGGAAGACCACCCGGAGGCGGCAGCCCCAGCCCAAGUUUCUGGGAGGAGGGGGGAGGGGGAGAAGGAAGAGGAAGAGGGGGAAGAGGAGAAGGAAGGAGAGGAG